UACGAAGGGGGCUAGCGUUGCUCGGAAUCACGGGGCGUAAAGGGUGCGUAGGCGGGUCUUUAAGUCAGGGGUGAAAUCCUGGAGCUCAACUCCAGAACUGCCUUUGAUACUGAGGAUCUUGAGUUCGGGAGAGGUGAGUGGAACUGCGAGUGUAGAGGUGAAAUUCGUAGAUAUUCGCAAGAACACCAGUGGCGAAGGCGGCUCACUGGCCCGAUACUGACGCUGAGGCACGAAAGCGUGGGGAGCAAACAGG
rnacentral:rRNA from 1 species